rnacentral:rRNA from 1 species
GAUGAACGCUGGCGGCGUGCCUAACACAUGCAAGUCGAACGGAGUCGUUUUGGAAAUCUCUUCGGAGAUGGAAUUCUCGACUUAGUGGCGGACGGGUGAGUAACGCGUGAGCAAUCUGCCUUUAAGAGGGGGAUAACAGUCGGAAACGGCUGCUAAUACCGCAUAAAGCAUCAAAUUCGCAUGUUUUUGAUGCCAAAGGAGCAAUCCGCUUUUAGAUGAGCUCGCGUCUGAUUAGCUGGUUGGCGGGGUAACGGCCCACCAAGGCGACGAUCAGUAGCCGGACUGAGAGGUUGAACGGCCACAUUGGGACUGAGACACGGCCCAGACUCCUACGGGAGGCAGCAGUGGGGAAUAUUGCGCAAUGGGGGAAACCCUGACGCAGCAACGCCGCGUGAUUGAAGAAGGCCUUCGGGUUGUAAAGAUCUUUAAUCAGGGACGAAGAAAAUGACG